rnacentral:lncRNA from 1 species
GGAAUCCACGCGACUUUCUGGAAUUUGGUCUGGCCCUGUGGUUUGGAAACUGUUGGAGCAAUGGAAUCCUCCAUCUAUCUGUCUGUCUAGCUCGCUGGCCAGUUCACAGUGUCACUGUGCGGGGCUGGGGAGGGGCUGUGAUUGGGGUUUGGGGCUGUGUUGCGUGACCAGGCAACUUCCUCCGGCUCCUCCUUCUUAGGGCAGUCAGGGCAGGAAGGCUUUCGCUUUCGAAGGCUCCAGAAAAACGCAUUGGUUUCGCAGGGAAGCUGGGCUCGGUACUGCGGUGAGUGUGGCCGGGUGUGUUGGGGCCUCUGGGAGAGCGGCUGGGUGGAUGGAGCGUGGUCUGCAAUUGUCUCUCACCCUUUCCAGAUAGGUGAAGAGUCAAUCAUGAGCUGGUUCCAGAAACAGCUAGGCUGGAACACGAAGAACUAUAGCAGCAGCCAGGGGCUACAAAUGCCCAUAGGCAUCCCCAUUGCACUUGGAGUCCUGGCCCUCCUCGCCCUGCUGGCCCUGGCCUGUAACUGCCUCGCAGAGGCCUGGAAAUCCAAAUGGAGGCCCUGCUGCCAGAGGUGGUGGCACCUUCGCCCUGGAGAUGACCUGCAGCUUCUUCAGAGAGAUGACUUCUGCCAUGGCUGUGCGAACUUGGAAGAGGACCCUGCACUGACCGCAGCCUGAGACACUUUGGGCAGAGGACCCCUGUCUGCUCUCUCAGACCCCUGGGCCACCAAAUGUGUGAGAUAAUAAAUGGACAUUUUAAGUCGCCAAGUGUGUGAUGAUGUUUUGGGCAGCAAAGUGUAUGCCAGAGAGGACAGGC